AACGAACGCUGGCGGCAGGCUUAACACAUGCAAGUCGAACGCAUCGCAAGAUGAGUGGCAGACGGGUGAGUAACGCGUGGGAACAUACCCUUUUCUACGGAAUAGCUCUGGGAAACUGGAAUUAAUACCGUAUACGCCCUUUACUGGUGGACAAUUUAGGGGAAAGAUUUAUCGGGGAAGGAUUGGCCCGCGUUGGAUUAGCUAGUUGGUGGGGUAACGGCCUACCAAGGCGACGAUCCAUAGCUGGUCUGAGAGGAUGAUCAGCCACAUUGGGACUGAGACACGGCCCAAACUCCUACGGGAGGCAGCAGUGGGGAAUAUUGGACAAUGGGCGCAAGCCUGAUCCAGCCAUGCCGCGUGAGUGAUGAAGGCCUUAGGGUUGUAAAGCUCUUUCACCGAUGAAGAUAAUGACGGUAGUCGGAGAAGAAGCCCCGGCUAACUUCGUGCCAGCCGCCGCCGUAA
rnacentral:rRNA from 1 species